UGCCAGCCGCCGCGGUAAUACGAAGGGACCUAGCGUAGUUCGGAAUCAUUGGGUUUAAAGGGUUCGCAGGCGGUCUAUUAAGUCAGUGGUGAAAUCUCGGGGCUCAACUCCGAAACUGCCAUUGAUACUGAUGGACUUGAAUAUAGUUGGAGUAGGCGGAAUGUGUAGUGUAGCGGUGAAAUGCUUAGAUAUUACACAGAACACCGAUAGCGAAGGCAGCUUACUAAACUAUUAUUGACGCUCAUGAACGAAAGCGUGGGGAGCGAACAGGAUUAGAUA
rnacentral:rRNA from 1 species